rnacentral:lncRNA from 1 species
GGGCCUCGGCCAGGCCUGAGAUGCCGGGAGGGUUUGACCCUGGGGCUGCAUGGACAGCUUAGCGCUCGGCCGCUGGCGACAGCGGAGGGCGGAGGAUCUGCAGGUUCCGGGGGACGUGGUGAGCCCCCGGGGCCUGGGCGUUAGGGACGGGAGGGCGGAUGGCCCCUGGGCGGGUUCCCACCGCGCCUCGUUUUUGCCGGCGCGGCCCUGCCUGUGAGGAGGCCUGGCCCAAGACACUCGCACGCUCGCGUACGUCCCUGGGAGGGCGUGGCCAGUGAUGGGCGUGGCCUGUUAGGGCGGGGUUGUGACGCCGCUCUCCCGGUUUCGCGCCUGCGCGGUCGGGCGCGGAGCUCGGGCACCUUCCUGACCCACACGCUCACUGGGGCUCCAGACCCAGGCUCCCUAAAACAUGGGCCGAGACUCAUUGCAGGACCUCGGGUGCUUGGUAUCCGUGUCAUGUCUUCUCCUGCCGUCUACACCUGACUGUUCCUGAGUCUCGUUCACUGAGCGCCUGCCACGUGCCAGGCCCAGGGCUGGGUGUUGGGGGACGAGUACGUGGGGAGCGAACACGCGCAGAAAAUUACCCGGCAUUGAGCGUGUUAGUGCUUCUUGGGCUGAGUCCAUUAACUGAUGAGCAGAGGGUAAGAUGAGAUGGUAAUGGGGAGACUUGCACAAGAUCCCAGGGUGCGUGGGUAAGUCAGGUAUGUGUGAGACUUGAAGGAUGACCGGGGGUAGGCAGGAUGGGAGGUGACAAAAAACAGUGUUGGAGGAAGGAGCUUAGCGUCUUAGGGGCACUGAAAGAAGUACUGCAGGAUUGGAGCUGGAAGACAGAGCUGCUUGGCAUUCCUGUAUUUUAUCUUCCACCUCUGCUUGCAAAUUGGCCAGUUCUUACUUAACCUCGUUUAUUUCAAAGUUCCUCGCUAGGGGCAGCAGUGAGCAGCCAACAUACCGCAUAUUUGCUUUUUUUUUUCUUCUAGAGCUACACAGGCUUGGUAAGUGCAGGAUCCGUCUUCCCAGUUAAUACAGGCAGCAUUUUUUUAGAUGUCUUUACUGCGUAGCGGGAAUGACUAGCUUUCUACCCUGCACCAUCUCUUUCCUCACUACUCACUGCCUGGCCGUGAAGCCAGUACCACUUAGGUUUCUAUCACAGCCGCACCCCUCCUCCAGGUACCAAUUGUUAUAUUACUAGGGUGCAGGUUACCCCAGUAAUAUAGUAAUAAUAUGGUAUAGUAAUGUAGUAUAGUAAUAGUAUAGUACAGUAAUAUAGCAGGUUAGGGUGCUUUUGUAACCAAGAGCCUUCAAAGCACGCUGGCCCUAACAAGAUGGAAGUUUGAUUCUCCUGCACAGAACAGCAUGGACGUGAGCAGUCCAGUGGGGUGGAGCCCAGGGUCACUAAAUAUAGGCGUAGGGCUGGUGGUACCCAGAUCAGGGGAUAUGCGGGGACCUAAGUUCCUUCCCCUCACACCAUCCCCUGGGUGUCACCCUCCUCUGCAUAGCCAAGGGUGGCUCACUGCUACUGUGCUACCAGAUGGCAGAAAAACAAACAGAAAAGUGACAUGAUUAUGCUGAUGUGUUGAGACCUUACUUCACUGCCCUGGAAAAUGAAAGGUGUGAUCAGGGUGCAGGCAGGGAGGCAAGGCUUGUGGCUACAGUAGUGUGUCAGAGGAGAAGUGGCAGAGGUUUGCACAAGAGAGGGCAGUGGGGUGGUGACACUAGAGAGACGUGACUGUGUAGAGGGAGAGCAGACAGUCUCACUGAUGGAGUGGCAGUGGCAGGGUAAUGUGAAGAGUGGAGUCCAGGGUGUUGUAGGGGUUGACUUGAGCCCUGCGAGGGCAGUACUGCUGCUCCUUGAGAGAAGAGUGGUGUGGAGGCAAUGAAGAGCUCCUGUUAGGCCAUGCUGUGUUUUCUGCGACUUUGAGACGUUUAGUGGAGACGUGGCAAAUACUGCUAGUGAUUGAAUGGUUAUCAUGUGGAUUAUCUGAAUUUCUUUAAUCAACUAAAAUUUAUUUAAGCAUAAAGUUACUUUCACAUUUGUCUACACCUACAGUAAAUACAGUUGUUGGCAUAAAGACACAGCCUUUAGAAUUUAAAGCCUCCCCACCUGCAAGAUUACAUACGUAAAACUCCCACUGUUGUUUCUAUAAUAGUGGAUUAAUCAAAUUAAAAUAGUUAUACUAUCGAAUAAAAUACAAUGGAAAUAAUUUACUUAUAAGAUUCAUAUUUAAAUCAUCCUUAUUUACAAAAUACUAUCCUAAGAAUUAUAAUUCCAUUAAGUUUCAAUUUGAGCAAAAGUGUAAUCACUUAAGUAACAGCAGUUACUUGAAAUGAGAUCAGUCAGAAUUACUUUUGAAGAGAGCAAAAAUAUUGCCAGGUAUCUUGCUGCGGUUUUGGAUGUUCCGUAGCAGGCUCAUUUGAAGGCGGAAUCAGCCCUGAAGGGAACUCACUUCUACCUUCAGAAUGUGGGGGUCGGGGGAAAAAUCCAGGUCUUGGGGGAGGGUAAGGAGGAAAACCCCUCGGUGGAUAGACAUUUCUCAUUGCAAACGGAGCAUGUGGUGGACCUGGGAAAUCCCCUGGUGGAAAAUAAUCUCGAGAAGCUCCAAACCUGGUUCCUGGAGGAGGUGGGGGGAAAGGAGGUGCUCUUCUCAUGAACGGGCCCCUUGUAUCCACUGGAAACAGUGGACCUCUGAUUAGGGCAAGAGGUGGAGGAACAAAGCGAGGGCCAGUUGCUGCAUUUUCAGCAGGGAGAGAUGAAUCAGGGAUAUUUAAAUUACCAAGAUCAUCUUUGGUGUCAUUUCUACUGGAUUCCAUUUCUGAAGGCAUUGACCCAUCCAUUUUAUCCAAAGGAGGCAUAUUAAAACUUCUGAGUUCUGCUGGUCCAGACAGUCCACCAGAGUUAGAAUAAAAUCUGUCUUGCCUUUGUGGAGGAAGAGCUGAAUCAAGAUAUGAUUGCGCUGGUGGAGGAAACAUCAUCCUACGGUCCUGUUCCCUCGGAAGUGACAGGGACCCAGUGUCAGAAGGAGACCUGUGAGGAUCGGUUAACCUUUCACAGCUUGAUUCUCCUCUUUCCUUGGUAAUCUGAUGGUCCAGAGGAUUCCCUGGGCCUCUUGAGCCUCUUCCUUCCCCCCCUGGAGGCAAAGGUGAGAGUCUGAGUGGACCCUCCAACAGAGUUGCGGGAGAGAGAAAAGCUCUCGUUUCAGAUGAAGGCCGACCCAAUGAUGAGGGACCAUAUGGGGAAUGCUCUCUGCCAAAUGCUGUAUUUGGAACAUCAAGUACAUAAGGAUCUUUUUUUAGAAGUUUUAUUUUAUACUCUGUUUCAGCUAAUUUUUGUCUGUUGUGAGCAUUUUCUUUCCUUAAAUCAUUGAGGUUUCUUUCAGCAGCCCAAGCUGCCAACCAGUUAUGAUGUGCCUUUUUCUCAUGGGAAAUAAUCUGCCGUUGAUAAUAAUGAAUAGUUCUCUCCAAUUCUUCUUCAAGAUCUUUGGCUCGCUGUCUGUAGGUCUCCAGCUCUUUAGUGGCAUGGCUGAUCUUUUUGUCUACCUUAGAAAGUUUCUCUUCUUUCUCUAACCGGCUAUUUUCCUCUACUGUUAAUUUCCUGUAGAGUUUCAUUUCAUUUUCUUGAUAUAAUUCAGUCAUUACUUUAAGUUUCUGUUGAAGCUUCUGAUUCUCACUUUCAAAAUGUGUGUUUUCUGACUGCAAAGAUGCUUGUUCAGUCCGAAGAUUUUUAAUAUGCUCUGUAAGCUCUUCCUUUGUUUUAUCAAUUUCAGGUAACUGGAUAUAAAUUUGGUUUCUUUCUCCUUCUAAGGUUUUUAAAGAAGCAUUUAACUUAGUAGCAUGAAUCAGUUUCUUCAGAGCUCCUUUUAGAGGAUCAUCUAAGUAAGCACCAUCUUCUGAUUCACUGUUCACUUCUAAGUUAUCAUCAUCCGUUACGUCUUCUCUAAGCCUAGCAGCCCAAUCUUUCAUCUUUAGCAAAUGUUCAGUCAGAGUCUUGAUGUGAUUUUCUUUAUCAUUUAGAACUUGUUCUGCAUGUACUUUGGAGUCUUCAAAUGUUAUUUUCUGUUUAUUAAGUUCAUUCACUUGUUCGUUCCAUACUUCAGCUUCUUGCAAAAGCUGUUUCUGGCUUUCCUGAAGGUGAGAGUUUUCAUUCAAAGCAUCUUUUAUUGCUAUCUUCAGUUGUUUCUCAGUCAUUUUAAAUCUCUUGAAGAUCAUUUUGGCUUCAGCUACUUGUGAUUUGAGGGAUUCUGACUCAUCUGCUAGAGGCUGUAUCGUUUUUGAAAUAUCCGCCAUCAAUUCAUUUUGUUGCGAAUGUUUAGAUUUCUCUUCUUUUAACUCUUUUUCUAGACAGAGAAUUUCAUGCUCAAGUUCAGAAUUGGACCUGUUCAACUUUUCACAGGUUGCCUCCAAACUUCGUGCUUCUGCUGCCGCCUUCUCAAAGCUGGCAUCCUCUAACGAUGACGCUACUUCAUAGUCUUCAUACUCUUUUUGAACAAGGCUAAAUUUUUCAAGUAGUUUACAUUUUUCUUCAAUUAGUCCAGAAAGCAUUAUAGCAAGCUUUUUCUCUCUUCCCACAUAAAGCCGACUCCUAACCGAUCUAAAACUUCUCCACAGAAAAAGGAGAACAGCAAAAAAUGCAGCAACAGCUGCACAUAUCACCAUUUCCCAUGGAAAACCAUGAGGAUUCGAAUCCAGUCUCAUACUUUCAGGCAGCGCUGCCACAACCCUGCGUGGCUCCCCCAGGACCAGCCCCAAGUACCGCUGAGGGGUAGCCCCUGGCUCCAACAUAGCGCCAAGGCUGCUCUGGCGGUCGCCGCAGUAACCCCGGCCACAACAAGCAGCGGAGAACUCGCAGCCUUGCGUCCGGAACCCGAAUCCGCACCCGGCAACCGGAGCAGACCAUUGUGGAGCCGGCUGCGGGGGGGAGCUGGGGGAUGCGGGCGCUCACAGGCCCACUCUGCCCACCCAGCCCCCUUGUUACACUACAUCCUGAGGUAGCACAUGUUGGACCCGCGCAAGCCCCACCCCUUGGUUUGGUUUUGGCCAGGCAGCCGUGGGGAGGUGGGGAGUUUUGUUUUGUUUUGUUUUGUUUGGGGGGGGAGGGGAACGGAGUCUCACUCUUGUCGCCCAGGCCGGAGUGCAGUGGCAUAAUCUUGGCUCACUGCAACCUCUGCCUCCUGGGUUGAAGCGAUUCUCUUGCCUUAGCCUCCGGAGUAGCUAGAAUUACAGGUGCCCGCCACCAUGCCCAGCUAAUUUUGUAUUUUUAGUAGAGAUGAGGUUUCACCAUGUUGGCCAGACUGGUCUCGAACUCCUGACCUCAGGUGAUCCGCCUGCCUCAGCCUCCCAAAGUGCUGGGAUUACAGGCGUGAGACACCGUGCCCAUCCUGGAUUAUCUGAAUUUAUAGCACAACACUGCUAAAUUAUUCCCAUGAUACAAAGGAGGCAGCUGAAACGCAGAGGGGGUAAUUAACUGGCCUAAGGAUACACAGCUAGUAAAUGGUAGAACUAGGUCUUAAAUCCAAGCCAUCUGGCUCCAGAGCCUGCCAUCUUAACCACAGGGCUGCACAGCUUCCCAUGUGGCAUUUGUGGAACUAAAAUACAAAGCAGGCCGGGCGCAGUGGCUCAUGCUUGUUAUCCCAGCACUGUGGGAGGCCAAGGCAGGCUGAUCACUUGAGGUCAGGAGUUCCAGAUCAGCCCGGCUAACAUGGUGAAACCCUGUCUCUACUAAAAAUACAAACAUUAGCUGGGCUUGGUGGCACACACCUGUGAUCCAGCUACUUGGGAGGCUGAGACAGAAGAAUUGCUUCAACUCGUGAGGCAGAGGUCGCAGUGAGCCGAGAUCACACCACUGCAUUCCAGCCUGGAUGAAAGAGUGAGACUCUGUCUCAAAUAAAAAAGUAAAAAUAAAAUAUACCCACAAAGCUUCACAAUGAAGUCCUAAAUUGGCUAUCAUAAAAUGAUGAAAAGUGUGAUGCUGUGGGCUGUCAGGGAAGGGGAGCCAGAGGUCAUUAUUGAUCAGAGCGAACAGGGAAGGUUUAAUGGAAGACACCCUGAAUGAUCUAUCAGGUUGGAAUUGCUGAAAUGGAGUGCCAGGCUUCAGGUUGCAAUACUUCUUGACUGUUACCAAAGAAUAAUGAGUUGGGUAUCUUAUUGGCAUGGUGUAUAUUGCCUCUUAAUUUGAUAAAGUUUUGUUUAUGUUGUAUUGUGUCCUAGUCUUUGAUUUAAUAAUCCAGAUUGAGUUCAAUAAAGUAUCCAAGUUCUACCAAGUUUUCUGUCCUCUCUCUGCCUCUCUGUGUAUUUCUCUCUCACAGGCGUCUCCAGAAUUUGGUUACUGAGGAACGGUAACUAGUUUCUUACUUCUGUUCCCAGCCUAGAGGCUCUGUACUCUGCACAUAACCACCAGCAAAGUUUUGGAAAACACAGCAGCCAGGACCCAUCUCUGUAGUGACUUUGCAGACAUGUUUUGAGCGCCUGCUGUGUCUCAAGCCCUGUCCUAGGCACUGGAGAUGAGAUGAAGAAACGAUGAGUAGAGGCCUUGCUUACGUUUAUCCUGCAACUCAUGAUGAGGCUUACUCUGCAACUCCAGUGCUCGGCUUUUUACACAACAGAGUCUCUGUUGCCCAGGCUGGAGUACAGUCGCACGAUCUUGGCUCACUGCAACCUCUGCCUCUCAGGUUCGAGUGAUUCUUCUGCCUCAGCCUCCCAAGUUGCUGGGAUUACAGGUAUGCUGGAGUUUGCUGGAGGUCCACUCCAGACCCUGUUUGUCUGGGUAUCACCAGCAGAGGCUGCAGAACACCAAAGAUUGCUGCCUGUUCCUUCUUCUGGAAGCUUCGUCCCAGAGGGGCACCUGCCAGAUGCCAGCUGGAGCUCUCCUCUAUGAGAAACGGGUAUGCAGGAGAUUAGAAGCCAGUGGGCAUGAGCGUGGCUGCCACCAGGUGAAUGCCUGUGCCCUGGCGUCCUGGGGCCCAGAGGACCGGGAGCUUCCAUCAAGAGGCUGCCUCCCAGCACCAAGGCCAGAGAGUGGCCAGGGGAGGCUAAGUACAGGGAUUUCUCAGAAUGGUGGAAGGAGCUCAGCCCAGCCUUGCCCAAGAUGUAUUGCAGGGGAAUCUGGACAUUUUAGCCAUACCAAGAAUCAUUAGAAGAUGCAAGCUGGAAAAAAGAAGGUCCCAGUUUUGGUUUUGAACCCUUCAUGUUGCAGCAAAUGUGAAUCUCCUACAGAUGGGUUUGGGGACUUACCUGUUCAAAUAGCAGCCCGGUGUCCUCUGUGGGUGGGGGGAGGUUUGUCUGUCCUUUCAUUCUAGUAAAUCCACCAUCCUCUGCACGAGAGCCAGGAGAAUCCACAUCACUUCAAAAGAGCCCCCAAAUCCUUACUACGUACUACAGCCUCCUUUCGAAUGUUCCUGGUUGAGAGGGAGAUCAAUUGCAUUAUUUACAAGUCAAAAAAUUUUGUAUCAAACUUCCUAUGAGCUUGGGCACUCAUGGCCUAUGGAGGCCCACCCAGACGCAGCCCCGCCAUCAUGCUUUUUCGUUGUUUUGUGGAUGUACCCAGGGCUAUUUACACACUCUUUCAUUAAAAGGCUUAUUUUUAUAUUUAAAAUGUUCUAAUCUUGGAGUGAAUUUUACUAAAUGCUAGUGUCCAAUCUGUUCCCCAACUGAAGUUAUCAGAGACAGAAUCCCUUUUAUAUUCAAGUGGAAAUUACUCAUUUUCUCUUGGGUUUUCAAUGUAUCGUCUGACUGUGAGGCUGGCAUUAUUUUCUCUGGGUUUGAAAGCUUCCUGAGAUGUCCUGUUUGUAAGCUCCUGUCCGCAUCACGUUAUCUGCAGGGAAUGUGCUCCCUCCAGGGAGUGUCCUCGGCACUGAUGUGGGAAGAGCCCCCUCUAUAAGUCAUCAUGGCAUUCGGUCAUGGGAGAGUUCCAUACGGGAAAGAUGGAGCAGAGGAAGACAAGGUGUUGAAACCAGUACAGCACCACCUGGGAUAUGGAUGAUCCAGAAUUACAGGACACGUCUUCAUUAAGCCUGGGUAAGAUCCCAGAGCUAUGACUCGAUCAAAAAAUGCCAGUUCGUGCCAAACAACCAAAGCCGGGAAAGAGGGAGAAGGUAUUGGCGUUUGUAGCCUUACGAAAGAUCUUUAUGAAGAGCUUUAGUUUGUUCUUCUCUUUUCCAAAAUGAGAUACACGUCUAAUUUUUACGGGAAAAAAAGAAAACUCUUAGAUGGACAGCAUGUUCUUUUUUGUGUGUAAACUCUUCCUUCUCACCCUCGUUCAUGGAGAGAGCAGGUGUCCACCCGGUGUCAGGUGGGUGUUUUGUAGCUGACGUGGCACGCGUCCCUCCAGCUGUUCAUACGAAGCUGGCUUUUGUAGAGAACAGUCCCCGGGCAUCCUCCUGCCCCAAGGAAAAUGCCCCCGCUUCAGAGUCAGACAGACGUGAGUUCCCAUCUCAUCUCCACCGACCAUCUCCACCUGACCUUGAUGAGUCCUUAGACUUCUUGGAGCCUCUGGUUCCCAUCUGUGUGGUGGGGAGGUUGCCCUUGGGGUUUGCCCUUAGCCCACAGUGUGACUCCUCAGUGUCAGUGCCCUCCCUCCUGGUACACAGCCCCUCCACCCCAAAGCAGGCCUUCGGUUCUGGAAAAGCAAAGCUCACAAAACCUGAUGACCCAGGUGACAAGGACGAAAGGGAUGAGGUGUAACUGGCCAGAAUGUGGGUGUAUUAGGGUUCUCUAGAGGGACAGAAUAGGAUAAGUGUAUAUGUGAAGGGGAGUUUAUUAAGGAGUAUUGACUUGCAUGAUCACAAGGUGAGGUCCCACAAUAGGCCGUCUGCAAGCUGAGGAGCAAGGAAGGCAGCCUGAGUCCCAAAACCUCAAAAGUAGAGAAGUCGAUAGUGCAUCCUUCAGUCUGUGGCUGAAGGCCCAACAGCCCUUGCAAACCACUGGUGUAAGUCCAAGAGUCCAAAAGCUGAAGAACUUGGAGUUCGAUGUUCAAGGGCAGGAAGCAUCCAGCACGGGAGAAAGAGGAAGCCUGGAAGACUCAGCCAGUCUAGUCUUUCCACAUUCUCCUGCUUGCAUUAUUCUGGCCAAGCUGGCAGCUGAUUAGAUGGUACCCACCCAGAUUGAGGGUGAGUCCGCCUCUCCCAGUCCACUGACUCAACUGUGAAUCUCCUUUGGCAACACCCUCACAGACACACCCAGGAUCAAUACUUGGCAUCCUUCAAUCAAGUUGACACUUGAUAUUAACCACCACAGUGGAGAACCAGCAGCUUUAUCCAGGUGCUGGAUUUUCCAGACUGUGAAGGGAAUGGAGGAGCUUGUGACUGGGUACCUAAAAAGGGGGAUGGCAACAUUUUCUUGGUGUUUUCAGCCAUUUUAGUACAGGCCAUGAAAUAGAAGGCUCAGAAAUUCCAGAUUUUCCUAGGUGUGGUCCACACCUCAGUCCCAUCCUACUCUGGCCUCGUGUGAACAGAGGUCCUGCCCGUGGCCUUGUUGUCCCCUGGCAGCCGCCCUCCACCCACCCCCUGACUUGCUGUCACAGCUGCCCUGGCAUCCAUCCUGGCCUUCAGCCCCACCUCCCUGGCUCCAGAGUCAUCCCUGGCCACAGGACGGUCUCUGCUCUCCAGCCCAACCCGCCUCCUGCUGGGAUUACCUGGAGGAGCUCACCCCGUGCAGAACUGUUUCUCCCUGGCAAAUUAAUUUGUCAGCACCACAGGUACUAAAACAGAUUAGCUAAUAGGCAAAACCUGCAUAGAUUUCACUAAACUGGGUCUUGAUGCACCCAUGACGAGCGUGAAAUGGGAUUAUCCCUUUAAAGUGCUUCAUCUUUGUAUUCUUGUCAAAAGAGGAGGAAAAAGACAUUUUCUUACACCCUGAGGAAACAGACUGGGCAUUGAUGUGUCUGUAUGUCCAUUAGAUAAAUUUUCAAUUUGUUCUUUAAUUAUAAUCUGUUAUUGCUUUUGGGGGGAUAUAGGGGCUAAAAAUGUCAAAACGUACCUUUAAUAAUUUCACAAAGUAAGUUUGUAAUGGUUUCUAAACCAACAACUUACGAAACUCAUUUUA